rnacentral:rRNA from 1 species
UUCCGGUUGAUCCUGCCGGAGGUCACUGCUAUCGGGGUUCGAUUAAGCCAUGCGAGUCGAGAGGGUUCAGACCCUCGGCGGACUGCUCAGUAACACGUGGGUAAUCUGCCCUAUGGUGGAGGAUAACCCCGGGAAACUGGGGAUAAUACUCCAUAAGUCAGGAGUACUGGAAUGUCUCCUAACUGAAAGUUUCGGCGCCAUAGGAUGAAUCUGCGGCCGAUUAGGUAGUUGUUGGGGUAACGGCCCAACAAGCCCGUAAUCGGUACGGGUUGUGGGAGCAAGAGCCCGGAGAUGGAAUCUGAGACACGAUUCCAGGCCCUACGGGGCGCAGCAGGCGCGAAAACUUUACAAUGCAGGAAACUGUGAUAAGGGAACCCCGAGUGCCCGUACACGCGGGCUGUCCCGGUGUUUAAAACACAUCGGAAGAAAGGGCCGGGCAAGACCGGUGCCAGCCGCCGCGGUAAUACCGGCGGCUCGAGUGGUGACCACUUUUAUUGGGCUUAAAGCGUUCGUAGCUUGAUUUUUAAGUCUCUUGGGAAAUCUCACGGCUUAACUGUGAGGCGUCUAAGAGAUACUGGGAAUCUAGGGACCGGGAGAGGUAAGAGGUACUUCAGGGGUAGAAGUGAAAUUCUGUAAUCCUUGAGGGACCACCGAUGGCGAAGGCAUCUUACCAGAACGGCUUCGACAGUGAGGAACGAAAGCUGGGGGAGCGAACGGGAUUAGAUACCCCGGUAGUCCCAGCCGUAAACUAUGCGCGUUAGGUGUGCCUGUAACUACGAGUUACCGGGGUGCCGAAGUGAAAACGUGAAACGUGCCGCCUGGGAAGUACGGUCGCAAGGCUGAAACUUAAAGGAAUUGGCGGGGGAGCACCACAACGGGUGGAGCCUGCGGUUUAAUUGGAUUCAACGCCGGG